rnacentral:rRNA from 1 species
GACGAACGCUGGCGGCGUGCCUAAUACAUGCAAGUAGAACGCACAGUUUAUACCGUAGCUUGCUACACCAUAGACUGUGAGUUGCGAACGGGUGAGUAACGCGUAGGUAACCUGCCUGGUAGCGGGGGAUAACUAUUGGAAACGAUAGCUAAUACCGCAUAAUAUUAAUUAUUGCAUGUUAAUUAAUUGAAUGGUGCAAUUUCAUCACUACCAGAUGGACCUGUGUUGUAUUAGCUAGUAGGAGAGGUUACGGCUCACCCAAGCGACGAUACAUAGCCGAACUGGGAGGGUGAUCGGGCACACUGGGACUGAGACACGGCCCAGGCUCCUACGGGAGGCAGCAGUAGGGAAUCUUCGGCAAUGGACGGAAGUCUGAACGAGGAACGCCGGGUGAGUGGAGGAAGGUUUCGGGUCGUAAAGCUCUGUUUUAAGAGAAGAACGGGUGUGGGAAUGGAAAGUUCACACUGUGACGGUAUCUUAUCAGAAAGCGACGGCUAACUACGUG